UACGAAGGGUGUAAGCGUUGUUCGGAUUUAUUGGGCGUAAAGCGCGCGCAGGCGGAUAAUUAAGCCAGAUGUGAAAUCUCGGGGCUCAACCCCGAAACUGCGUCUGGAACUGGUUGUCUAGAGUAAUGGAGAGGGAGGGGGAAUAUCUCAUGUAGGGGUAAAAUCCGUAGAGAUGAGAUGGAACACCGGAGGCGAAGGCGCCUUCCUGGCCAUUAACUGACGCUGAGGCGCGAAAGCGUGGGGAGCAAACGGGAUUAGAUACCCUGGUAGUCCACGCCGUAAACGAUGGGCACUAGAUUUUAGGAGGUUGACCUUCUUAGAAUCGUAGCUAACGCGUUAAGUGCUCCGCCUGGGAAGUACGGUCGCAAGACUAAA
rnacentral:rRNA from 1 species